rnacentral:rRNA from 1 species
UAGGGAAUCUUCGGCAAUGGACGAAAGUCUGACCGAGCAACGCCGCGUGAGUGAAGAAGGUUUUCGGAUCGUAAAACUCUGUUGUUAGAGAAGAACAAGGACGUUAGUAACUGAACGUCCCCUGACGGUAUCUAACCAGAAAGCUACGGCUAACUACGUGCCAGCAGCCGCGGUAAUACGUAGGUGGCAAGCGUUGUCCGGAUGUAUUGGGCGUAAAGCGAGCGCAGGCGGUUUCUUAAGUCUGAUGUGAAAGCCCCCGGCUCAACCGGGGAGGGUCAUUGGAAACUGGGAGACUUGAGUGCAGAAGAGGAGAGUGGAAUUCCAUGUGUAGCGGUGAAAUGCGUAGAUAUAUGGAGGAACACCAGUGGCGAAGGCGGCUCUCUGGUCUGUAACUGACUCUGAGGCUCGAAAGCGUGGGGAGCAAACAGG